CGAAAUACUUCACCCUUAGCCACUUUUCCAAUAUUGUACAUGCUUUCACAUGCAUAAUAUCGAAUUUUAGAGUCGCUAUCAUUGAAACAAUAAAGCACCGGUAAUAAAAUGGACUCCAUAUAUGAAUCAAUUUUCUAUACACAUAGAGCAAUUAGUGGAUCGGCUUAAUAGAAGAUAAUUUUAGAAACCGACUUGGCUGAUAAAGCCAUUCACUUACCGGACCUAAAGCUAUGGCGACUGCGGCCAAGCCUAUUAACCCGCCAAAGGUAGCAUUGGGACCGCGAGCUGGUGAAUAAACAAAAUCAUUUGCAAGUUGAGAUAUCACAGCGCGAAUUUUUUCCGUUUCGUCAUUCUCUAGAUAACCCUUUACAACCCUACGUUGAACAAUGUUG